AUUUCAAAAAUGAUUUCAAAAUUUAUUUAUUUUAUUUCAAUUUAAUUUGUUUUAUUUAAAAAGAAUUCUUUUGUAGAAUAUUGCAAUUUAUUUCACAUUUAUUGUUGUUGUUCUUUUUCAAAUCACUGCAUUUAUUUCACAUUUCCUACACAUUCACACAAUUUGCAGAAAAUUUAAUAUGUUAACCAAGCAACUCAAUUUGCAUUGCACAUUUCAGGCGCCAUAAAGUGCCUAAUAGUUGAAUGCCAUCAAAGUCGAAACGGUUGCAAAACAUUUGUCAUGACACUGUCACAGACACUUGGUCCAAGUCUAGGCAGGCACUGGACACACUUGCAACUGUCGAAACCACAUUGACCGCAAAUGGGACAAAAGUUCGAAAACCACAAAUUUCUUUGACCGGCUAUAUGGAUAUUGCAUAUAUUGAAAUGUUAUAGCAGGUGUAAGAAUUGAACACAAAUUGAGCAAUUGACAACAGAGUGCAGACACUUAAAGGAGAGAAUAUUAAGCGCACUUUAAACGAAAAGUACGCAGCAAACCUUAAAGUAUAAAUUGGUUUUAUGCAAAGUUUCUAAGCAUAGCGCCAAAAUGUUGACAGUCACAGAAACAAUACCGAAAUAAAAACAUAAGAAUAUAAAAAUUA